rnacentral:rRNA from 1 species
UGUGGAAUAUUGGACAAUGGGCGAAAGCCUGAUCCAGCCAUGCCGCGUGUGUGAAGAAGGUCUUCGGAUUGUAAAGCACUUUAAGUUGGGAGGAAGGGCAUUAACCUAAUACGUUAGUGUUUUGACGUUACCGACAGAAUAAGCACCGGCUAACUCUGUGCCAGCAGCCGCGGUAAUACAGAGGGUGCAAGCGUUAAUCGGAAUUACUGGGCGUAAAGCGCGCGUAGGUGGUUUGUUAAGUUGGAUGUGAAAUCCCCGGGCUCAACCUGGGAACUGCAUUCAAAACUGACUGACUAGAGUAUGGUAGAGGGUGGUGGAAUUUCCUGUGUAGCGGUGAAAUGCGUAGAUAUAGGAAGGAACACCAGUGGCGAAGGCGACCACCUGGACUAAUACUGACACUGAGGUGCGAAAGCGUGGGGAGCAAACA